rnacentral:rRNA from 1 species
UACGUAGGCAGCGAGCGUUGUUCGGAGUUACUGGGCGUAAAGGGUGUGUAGGCGGUUGUUUAAGUUUGGUGUGAAAUCUCCCGGCUUAACCGGGAGGGUGCGCCGAAUACUGAAUGACUAGAGUGCGGGAGAGGUGAGUGGAAUUCCCGGUGUAGCGGUGAAAUGCGCAGAUAUCGGGAGGAACCCCUAUGGCGAAGGCAGCUCGCUGGGACGUUACUGACGCUGAGACGCGAAAGCGUGGGGAGCAAACAGG